rnacentral:rRNA from 1 species
GGGGAAUAUUGCACAAUGGGCGAAAGCCUGAUGCAGCGACGCCGCGUGAAGGAUGAAGGUCUUCGGAUUGUAAACUUCUAUCAGCAGGGAAGAAAGGGCUUAUAGCCUAUGACGGUACCUGACUAAGAAGCCCCGGCUAACUACGUGCCAGCAGCCGCGGUAAUACGUAGGGGGCAAGCGUUAUCCGGAUUUACUGGGUGUAAAGGGUGCGUAGGUGGCUAUGCAAGUUUGAUGUGAAACCUUAAGGCUUAACCUUAAGCAUGCAUCAAAAACUGCAAAGCUAGAGUGCAGGAGAGGAAAGUGGAAUUCCUAGUGUAGCGGUGAAAUGCGUAGAUAUUAGGAGGAACACCAGUAGCGAAGGCGGCUUUCUGGACUGUAACUGACACUGAGGCACGAAAGCGUGGGGAGCAAAC